rnacentral:sRNA from 1 species
AUUCUGCCCAUGCGGGGAAGGAUGAGAAGCUUCGACUAAGGUUCGGCUCGAGCGUCAGCGAGAGAGCGUUGCCGCAGGCAACGACCUGAAGGGCGAAGCGCGCAGCGCUGAGUAAUCCUUCCCCCACCACCA